GAAAAAAGUUAGUCAAAUAUUAGGGGUGGGACGAGACACCCAGCUCACGAGACGAGUCAAUACACGAGAUUGGGUUCAAGAGAUCGAGACGUGU